UCAAAUUUUAUAGUGACUUUUUGAUAAAAUUAGAAAGAGGGGUAUUUUUAAAAAGUGUUAUUGGAAAAUGAGUAUUUUUGAAAUUCCCCCUUAUAGUAAAAGAAAAGUGGUUGUCUAUUUUAGACCGGAUAAAAACAACUAAAAAUAAAAAAAAAUUCCUAACCCGGAUGAUAAAAAUUCAAGCGGGUUAACACGUCUGCUAUUCAUACUCCGCAACCGAUUAAAAUAUCUUUAACUCACAAAUAUAUACAUUUCGCAUUCUC
rnacentral:lncRNA from 1 species